GCCUAACUGGCUUGGUCAGAAGAGCCUGGGACUCCUGAUCUUGGGGUCAUGAGUUCGAGCCCCAUGUUGGGUG
rnacentral:tRNA from 1 species